rnacentral:misc_RNA from 1 species
CGUUCCGCAGCUGCGAAGUAUAAAUUUUCUCGGCCGCACUCGGCAACGGGCCACGCGCUGCUCGGUUUGUUAUUAUCGCGCGCGCGGGCAAUUCAUCGAAGUGGUUUUAUGUAAGCAACAGCGGCAGCAGCAGCAGCACGCGUUUGUCAUUGCACGCGCGACACCCGCGGAUCGCAAAUGCAUUAUUCAUGGCAGCUGAGCAUAAGCGCGACUAGCGCCGAGGAGGACGAGGAGGUAGAGGAGGAAGGUGCAGAACGAAGAGGAGCAAAGGAAAAAACGGUGACAGCUGCGGCUGAGAUAGCUCCUUCUUUGCAUGCCUCGAGAGUUCGCUGCAACGUCUUGCACGGCAAAACAUUUUGCCAGGCCUGCAGCAAGAAGUGCACCGGCGAGGUGCUGCGCGUACUAGACAAGUACUUCCACGUAAACUGCUUCAAGUGCGCCGUGUGCAACAACAGCCUGGCGCAAGGUGGCUUCUUCGCUCGAGACGACAAGUACUACUGCACCAAGGACUACCGAGAGAGAUGGGGAACCAAGUGCGCGGGCUGCGGCGAGUACGUCGAGGGCGACGUGGUGACCGCCGGCGAGAAGCACGCCUUCCACCCAAAUUGUUUUCACUGCCAAAGAUGCAGACAGCCGCUGCUCGGUCAAGGAACUAAAGUCACGCUGGUUCAAGGUCAAGCCCUGUGCCAGCGCUGCGUCAGCAUACCCGUGAGGGAGUCGUCGACGCCGUUGGGCAGCUCGGCGGGCAAGGGAACCGCCUCGACUACCGGCGCCACGAGCAACGGCACCAGCAACAGCCAAGCCGGCCAAGACGGCCAGGGCACCUGCGCCGGAUGCAGUCAACAGUUGCGCGAGGGUCAGGCCCUCGUGGCGCUCGAGCGCCAGUGGCACGUGUGGUGCUUCAAGUGCCACACCUGCGACGCCGUACUCCACGGCGAGUACAUGGGCAAAGACGGUGUGCCUUAUUGCGAGAAAGAUUAUCAGAAGCAGUUCGGCGUCAAGUGCGCCUACUGCCAGCGCUACAUUAGCGGCAAAGUCCUGCAGGCGGGCGAGAAUCAUCACUUUCAUCCGACUUGCGCGCGAUGCACCAAGUGCGGCGAUCCGUUCGGCGACGGCGAGGAGAUGUUCCUGCAGGGCGCGGCCAUCUGGCAUCCGAGAUGCGGACCCGGCCCGACCCAGCCCAACGGCAUAGUCAACGGCCACUCGGAGGCCCACCACACGCCCCAGCAUCACCACCACCACAACAACAACGGCAGCAGCAGCGCCAGUCGCAUGAACAACGCGGCCAACAACGUCGGCGGAGCCGAAUCCGAGCGCAUCUCCAGCAGUGCCUCCGAGAUGCAGUUUUCAUUGAGGUCUCGCACACCAAGUCUUAAUGGAUCUUUAUGCAGUCCGUACAGCAGUCUCAGUCGCAAGUACUAUCCAGCGAGAACCGGAAGUCCAGGUUUAAUUCUUAGGGAGUACGGCCGAGGUGGUGAAAAUGUCUCUAGAAUUUAUACUUAUUCGUAUUUGACCGAAACACCGAGCCAAGGAUACUUAAGGCGUCCGAUUCAGCCUUACGAUAAGCCUCCGACCAGUCCACACUUUCAUCGCCCAAGCUCUUCACGCUCGAUAAGAAGCAGUGGUGGUCGUAGUAGUCGCUCGGGAAUGAGAGCUCUCGUGGACGCCCUGGCUGACGCGAGACCUCGUUCACCAGCGGCCGGAAGCCAAGCCGAUAACGAGGAGCCAAUAGAGCUAGCUCAUUAUCCGGACGCAGUGAAACCACCGCCUGGAAAACCAUCUGCCAUAGAACGCGACGAUUUCCCAGCGCCGCCUUAUCCAUACACCGAUCCAGAACGUCGUCGACGAUGGUCAGAUACAUAUAAGGGAGUACCAGAUUCCGAAGACGAGGAUCAGGUGGACGAAAAGUCGAUCAAGGAAGUCGAUCAGAAGUUGAAAAAAGAGCGCGACGAAUUGAGUAAAAUAGACACUGGCAUAGCCAAAGUAUUUCUGCAGGACCGUGAGAAAGAUCGAGAAAAUCUACGACACCGAGCUGCGAACGUCGACCCGAGAAACGCUUCGAGAACGCCAUCCGCUAAUCGCGAACCUGCUUAUAGACUGCGUUACGAAAGUCCUGUUGGUGCUUCACCGUCACGUAACGUCGACCACGCGAGACCUUGGGAAGACGAAGAUGGAUUUAGUUACAGAUCUAGUGGACCGAGUUAUAACGGGGGAUUACUCGUUCAGCGGGAUGGGAGACAAAACGCACAGCACUGAUUUCUCGUCCGGAAAAUCAGAUAUAUCAACAGGCAGCAUCACGGAGGUGGAUCGGCGGGCACUGAAUGACGGAGGAAUAAUACCGUCAUCGACGACAUACACAGGGGGGCUGGGU